CCUUCCUGUUAAGGAAGACUGAUCUCCCCAGAGGUCACCUGAGCCCAGGAGCUCCCUCAGAGUCAAGAGAUAUUUUGAGAGACGAUGGCAGAACCUAGAGAUGUUUCCCUGGAGAAGAGAAAGCAGCUGGGAGCAGGACGGGGGUCUCGAGGGAUUUCAAGGGCUGUCGAGUUAACUGGCAGGGGAGUUCUGAAGCCAACGUUAGCUGCAGCCACGGCGUCCCAAGGACAGCGAGCGGAUACAGACAGGCACCUGCUUGCAGAGGGCUGAACCGCCGCCCUGCGAGCUUCCCAGACACCUCUUCCCAGACGUCGGCAAGCGAGAAACAGCCUGUCUGCUGGAGAGAGGGACUUGCCUUGAGCCUGCACCCACAUGCCCGGACAAUGCGCCCUCUCCCUGCAGGCCCUGGGGGCCGAGUAGUGGUGAGAAGCACCUUGCAGCACCUGGGGUCCUCCCCUGAGGUGUCACGGCCCGUGCACGCUAAUGGCACAUGUGGGCGUCUAACUCCCUCACCUCCACCAGAGACAGGAAAGCAGCGGGCCACACGGUUGCAUGCCUGGGCCCCAGACACUCUUCCCUGUCCCUGCCUGUGAGCCCUGCACAUCUUCCCUGCCUCCCUUUUGCUGUGUCCCCGUGGAGAGGAGCCUGCAUGACUCCUCAGCGUUUCUGGCCCUUUGCGGUGGGGGGUCUCACAGCCCCUGAGGCAAUAGCAGCCUGAGGACCAGUCUUUACCCAGAGUCGCUGUCUGUUCAGGUAGGUCUGAGGGCUCUCGUGGGCUCUCAGUCAUUUGGCAUCUGCAGCUCCCAGGAAUGUUUGGUGCUGAGAUGGGCACCAGGGCUGCGUGUGUCACAGGCCUCUGCUGGAGCACCUCCCCCACAAGGCACAAGGACCCCAAAGAACAGAGGGUGUCACUAAGGAGUGCAGACGAGCAGCCGGCAGCGUGGAGAGUGCGUGGUGCGUGGUGCUCCACUGUGGAUGGGCCGUGUUGAGAAGGUGCCGCCCAGAGCUAUGCAUGCGGAAGGGCACCAAGGCAGCAGUCGUUCUGGGACAAGGCGAGACGUCUCGUUGUUCCCUGCUGGGCCAUCUGAUGUAGCCGAGGAAUGUAGUAGUCCCUCUGGAGAAGUUCGGUCAACUUGGUGCUGCCGAGGACACGUUCUGACUCCAAGUCCGCACGGCCAGUCAUGGAGAGAGGCAGCAAAGUAACCUCCCGAACGGGACCAGGUCAGGAAGCGGG